rnacentral:rRNA from 1 species
UACGUAGGGUGCGAGCGUUGUCCGGAAUUAUUGGGCGUAAAGAGCUCGUAGGCGGUCUGUCGCGUCGGUCGUGAAAACUUGGGGCUUAACCCCGGACUUGCAGUGGGUACGGGCAGACUAGAGUGUGGUAGGGGGAGACUGGAAUUCCUGGUGUAGCGGUGGAAUGCGCAGAUAUCAGGAGGAACACCGAUGGCGAAGGCAGGUCUCUGGGCCAUUACUGACGCUGAGAAGCGAAAGCAUGGGGAGCGAACAGG